ensembl:rRNA 5S_rRNA 5S ribosomal RNA
GCCUCAGGCUGGGUAGCAUCUUUUGAAAGCAUAAAAGAUUAAUUACCUAGUAGAGUCUGAUCUUGGAAGCUAAGCAGAGUCUGGCCUGGUUAGUACUUGGAUGGAAGACCAUCUAGGAAGAUCAGGUGCUGUAGGCG